rnacentral:rRNA from 1 species
GACGUAGGUGGCGAACGUUAUCCGGAAUUAUUGGGCGUAAAGGGUGCGUAGGCGGCAUGAUAAGUUAUUGGUGGGAAAUCGAGGCUCAACCUCGUGGAAACUAAUAAUACUGUUUUGCUUGAGUACAGGAGAGGUUAACGGAACUCCAUGUGGAGCGGUAAAAUGUGUAGAUAUAUGGAAGAACAUCAAUAACGGCGAAGGCAGUUAACUAUUCUGUUACUGACGUUGAGGCACGAAAGCGUGGGGAGCAAACAGG